CUCCCCAAGAACAACAGAAAGAUCGGUGUCUGGAGCCACUUCCAACCGUGGUUUAUCUUUAAACCAGUACGUUGGGAAACUGAGGUCAUUGUUUGUGAGAUGUGUACAGAAUCAGCUGUGUCUUCAUGAGACCAGCGGUGAUGCAAACACAGACGUCUGUGGACACUUCGCUUAUUAGAGAGGAUGCAAAGUCUUUAAAAGCAUAAAAGAAGUCAAAGUCCUCCCAAGAGCUGAAUGGUGGAGGAAGGACACUUGGAAGAGAAAGAGAACAGACUCUGAACUUUUGGAGCCAAACAGACCCAGGCUCUGCCUGGGAGAGGAAGUCAGACCUCAGGAGGGAGGGACGGCCACUCAUAACCGACGAGUCACGAGGAAGGGAGACGACUUGUCCAAGAGAUGCAGAAACAACGUCCUGACAGCCGCGUGAAGGACUGGCCAUCCCGCACCUGGCCUGCAGCAAUCCUCUCUCUGAAUCCCCAAAGUCCCUCUUACGCCUCCCGUUUAUUCUCGAAGCCAGACGGUGGCAAAGUGCCCACCCAGCACGCUGUCUCUGCUCACACUCGUGCAAGAUCUCGUGCUGCCCCAAGCGGUCACUGGAACCCUGCACCUGCGCACAGGGCUCUAAGCUGCAGGUCCCUGCCCACCUGGGAGCCUCACCCUCGGCCUCAGACACGCUGUGUCCUUUCGGUUCUGACAGAUGUUCUCCUCGACCCGACUCGAGCCAAGCUCCUGUGAGCCUUCCUCUCAACUAAGCCUCAGCCUUGGCCUAUAGAGAAUGCAGAGUCUCAGCACAAAGGAUUUCAUCCACUUAUUCUCCCCAACUUAAAGGACCUUAAACAAACACGAACGUAGUUUCUAACAGCUCAAGGUCAUAUCCCCAAUAUGACCCCAGCCCCCCUCAAAGUGCCUGCCUGAGAAAGCUCAAGGUCGCCUAAAGGAUUUACUGUUUGUUCCAGCCAACACCUGAGGAUAGGCCCCUGACCACCCUUUCUUGGAGCACAUACUAAAAAGGGCUUCAAAUUGUGAAUCCUUCUCCUGUCCUUUUGAGAUGUAUUAUAUAUGUAUCUCCUACAACUCAGAGUGUCUUUCUCAAGGAUCUAAACUCCAUUCCUUUGAAAUGAAACCAUUAGGAAGGACAGGCCCCUUGUCUCCCAGUCUCUGUGAGAGGAUUGAAUCCUUACCUCCAUCACUGCCAGGUACAGACACAGAGGCCUAACCACACUCAUAGUGACCAACGCUCGCUAGUUUUUCACAUCCCUGACUUUGCUCGAGGCCCCGCUGGUCCCCUCCCAGCUCCCUGAUUCUCUCUUUAAAACACCCGGUCAUCUCUGUACAAAUUGAAGUUCAGUUCAGUUCAUGCCGGACCUGCUUCCCUACUGCAGGAGCAUAACGCUGAUUAAAAUAUGUUCUUUCCACUUUAA